UGGGGAAUCUUGGACAAUGGGCGCAAGCCUGAUCCAGCCAUGCCGCGUGAGUGACGAAGGUCUUCGGAUUGUAAAGCUCUUUUUGGCGGGGACGAUAAUGACGGUACCCGCAGAAUAAGCCCCGGCUAACUUCGUGCCAGCAGCCGCGGUAAUACGAAGGGGGCUAGCGUUGUUCGGAAUUACUGGGCGUAAAGCGCACGUAGGCGGACUGAUAAGUCAGGGGUGAAAUCCCGGGGCUCAACCUCGGAACUGCCUUUGAUACUGUUAGUCUCGAGUCCGGAAGAGGUGAGUGGAAUUCCUAGUGUAGAGGUGAAAUUCGUAGAUAUUAGGAAGAACACCAGUGGCGAAGGCGGCUCACUGGUCCGGUACUGACGCUGAGGUGCGAAAGCGUGGGGAGCAAACAGGAUUAGAUACCCUCGUAGUCCCUGAGCGGGCUGGCAAGGCGCAU
rnacentral:rRNA from 1 species